rnacentral:sRNA from 1 species
GAAAAAUAUAAAUAAUCUCUACAUGUAAUUAUUAUGUGUGAACUCCCAGCAGAGUCUGGUAAUACAUGUAGUUGAGGAAUUGCUGUCAAUUUAAAUUUGGUGCAUGCAGAGAAUUUUAUUGUGGUGCUGAAUUUUUUGUUCUGAUGACAUGUAAAAUAGAUGAGCAGCUUGUACGUAGUAAAAUGGCCUAGAGAACCUUGUUAAUUUAAAUACGUGUACUACUAGUUAUUGGUAUACUGUUGUCCUUUGUAAUAAGUUUUGAUCUGAAUAUUAUUUUUCCCCAAUAACUUUUUUUUAAAGUAUCCAUUAUAUAGCCAACAGAUUGAGAUAAAAUUCAUGGACUGUAGAGAUUAGAUGAUGUUGUAUUUACUGCAUGUGAACAAUUCUAAUUAGAAUAAUGUUGCUCUGAAAAAAAUAUUGAAUGUAAGUUAUUGUAAACAGACUGAAAUCAAAAGAUUUAAUUGACAAUAGAGUCUACCCAUGUAUUGAAUAAGAUUAAGAUUGAAUAGAGACCAAGACACGGAUUACAUAUAGUAUACUAGUACCAUAACCUAAAGAGAUUACACAUUAAUACAUGUUCUGUAUAUACACAGAUUCAGGUACAAUUUACCAAGUAAUGAGAUAGGUAGCCCGUUGAUGCUCUGUAUAGGCAGCACAUUGAGAUAAUAAGAAUGUAGUUUAAUAGAAGUUAUCCACUGGCACAGAAUAAUAUAGACAGUAGAGAUUACCCAUUGGUGCACAUUUUAUAUAGAAAACAGAAACAAUUAUGAACAUUGAUUCAUGGACAAUUUAGAUUAUUAGAAUUAUACCCAGGUGCCUGUUUAUAUUUUGUACAGUCUUGUCUAAAUACAGUAGAUUUUACCAAUAAGUUCAUUUUCAUGUAUUGCUCUUGUGGUAUACACAUCAGUUUGAGAUGAUAAAAUUGUAUACCUAUUAUUUUACUUGAAUGCAUAGAUUGAGAUAUAGAUAUAGACAAAAGAGAAUGUACUUGUAUCUUAAACAUAAGCUUAAACUUUUUUUGAACUUCAUAAGGAACUCAGUGAUAUUCAAAACAGGAAAUCCGUGAAUUUAAAUAAAUAAAUGUACUAAAAAC